rnacentral:rRNA from 1 species
CAGUAGCCGCGGUAAUACGUAGGGUGCAAGCGUUAAUCGGAAUUACUGGGCGUAAAGCGUGCGCAGGCGGUUAUAUAAGUCAGAUGUGAAAUCCCCGGGCUCAACCUGGGAACUGCAUUUGAGGCUGUAUGGCUAGAGUGUGUCAGAGGGGGGUAGAAUUCCACGUGUAGCAGUGAAAUGCGUAGAUAUGUGGAGGAAUACCGAUGGCGAAGGCAGCCCCCUGGGAUAACACUGACGCUCAUGCACGAAAGCGUGGGGAGCAAGCAGGAUUAGAUACCCGAGUAGUCCCUGUCUCUUAUAC